CCGGCCUGCGCGGGUGAAAGGAACAGGUCAGCGCCCGCCGGAGCCUCGGCCAACCCCCACGCUCCCCGACGUCCGAAGACCUAGAAUGCCCCUCAAGAUCUUCAGAGCCCCCCGACCACUCGCUCGAUAGUUCCGAAGGUCGCCCACUGCCCCUCUCAACUCCCGCGACCCCCAGACCAUCGCGGGUAUGCCGGUGGACCCCGCGUGCCCCCACCAUAAUCCUGGAGACAGCUAUUUGGCCGAAUUAUUCCCGGACCCUUCCGAACAUUUUGGGACUAUCUCUGGAGGUCUCCGACUGCCCCUUCAUAAGCCCAGAUUCCAAACUCUUUCCGCACGAUAUCGAGAGGGACCCCGAUUUCUCCAGGUACCCCGACAGAACAGGGUCGGCCGCCGCUGCGGCCCCGGCACCCCCGAUUCCCCUUCCAGAUAUCCAGGUAUCCAAAUACCCUGAUGGCCCACGUAGUCCCAGAUUGCCCCUCCAUUUAUCCCAGAGGCUUCCCGCCUAACGCCCCCACCCCCGCAAUUCACUACAGACCCUGAGGGCCCAGGUGUCCCCAGUGACCCGGGCAGACCCCUGUGGCACAACUCCCCGGAGACUCCUGAGAGCCCCCGGGUCUGGUUACACGGCCCCGCGGUGCGGAUGCGGGUGCGGGUACGGGUGCAGGUCGGAGACCUGGAGCCCAGCCCGGGUCGCCGGGCCCCCCUGCUCGCCGCCACCGCCACCGCCACUAGGGCGCCUGGGCUGCUUUGUUUACUACCUGUCGGAAGGAAAAGGGUCCGUGACGCCCCCCGCGUGCGGCUCCAUGACCCGAAGUCGGUCGGGUGGACGCACGGCCGCCAGCGACGCGUUUGGAGCUCCUGGGCGCGCUCACCUGGCGGCCCGCCCGAGCCUGGGCGCCGCUGUAGCCGGCUGGUCCCGUGCCCGGCGACCUGACCCGCGCAGUCACCUACCUGGCGACAGGCAAGGAGGCCUGGCUGUGGGAGGCAGCGUGAGCGCUUGGCCUCCCUCUACCUCAGGCGCCCCCUCUGCUCUCCCAGGACCCUGGGCUGUGCUCCUUUUCCCACCCAGGAGAGGCUUUAUUCCGUGAGCGAGAAGGGGAAGUCGAGGCCCAGAAAAGUUAAGGUCCCCGCCCCAGCUCUGACAACUAAACACGGGGGUGCAGAAGUGGAACCCACGUUUACCAGGGAACUCUGCAGCCUCCAGCAGAGCUUUGCUCCUGGUAGUUACUCGGUACAUUUGCAGUGAAUGUUGGCCUGAGCCAGGACCUACUUGGGAACUGGAAGAGUCUGUUGAGCUGGGCAGGGGGUAGCCCUUGAGGAGACUUGGGUACCACGGGAGGGUUUGGGGCCCUGAGCAUGAUAGGGCUGGGAGACUCAAGAAGCCGGGAAGGGCAGGUGCCCUGGAGAGUGGAGGGGUGGUAGGGGCCUGAACUUGAGGAGGCUUUGAAGGCCCUCCUGUUGGGAGGGGACACCAGCCAAUGAGAGGUGAGAAAUGAGGCCUCUCUUAGGUAUCAAAAGUGGGGGAAGCCUGGGGACAGAGGUCCGGGGGGGGCACUUGGGCACAGUGCUACUGUAGUGGAAGGAGGAAUGGGGUGCAAUGAGAGACAGUCUGUGACAACCACUUUGUGGAGGAAGAAACUGAGGGGCACAGGGGCUCAGACACCUGUCCAGGGCCCUACAGCCGGCCAGUCUCAAGAAGCUUACCCCCAACAUGCACUGUUUCUGUGACUUUCACUAUAAGCUGUGGACACACUGUGUCCUGAUGCUCAUUCUGGGUGGCCGGGCAGCCUCUCUGGGCCACCUUUCAGGGUCUCUGUGGUGUCAUAGGUGAGAGGGGCGGAAUGGUCCCUGCUUUCCUUCCUCCUGGAAUGUUGUGGCCCUCCCACCUCUGAUCUGACCUUGUCUGAAGGGAAAUACACUGGACUUUAUUCAC